GACGAACGCUGGCGGCGUGCUUAACACAUGCAAGUCGAACGGAAAGGCCCUGCUUUUGUGGGGUGCUCGAGUGGCGAACGGGUGAGUAACACGUGAGUAACCUGCCCUUGAUUUUGGGAUAACUUCAGGAAACUGGGGCUAAUACCGGAUAGGAGCUCCUGCUGCAUGGUGGGGGUUGGAAAGUUUCGGCGGUUGGGGAUGGACUCGCGGCUUAUCAGCUUGUUGGUGGGGUAGUGGCUUACCAAGGCUUUGACGGGUAGCCGGCCUGAGAGGGUGACCGGCCACAUUGGGACUGAGAUACGGCCCAGACUCCUACGGGAGGCAGCAGUGGGGAAUAUUGCACAAUGGGCGGAAGCCUGAUGCAGCAACGCCGCGUGCGUGAUGACGGCCUUCGGGUUGUAAACCGCUUUCGCCUGUGACGAAGCGUGAGUGACGGUAAUGGGUAAAGAAGCACCGGCUAACUACGUG
rnacentral:rRNA from 1 species